rnacentral:rRNA from 1 species
CCUACGGGAGGCAGCAGUGAGGAAUAUUGGUCAAUGGACGAGAGUCUGAACCAGCCAAGUAGCGUGAAGGAUGACUGCCCUAUGGGUUGUAAACUUCUUUUAUAUGGGAAUAAAAUGUUCCACGUGUGGGAUUUUGUAUGUACCAUAUGAAUAAGGAUCGGCUAACUCCGUGCCAGCAGCCGCGGUAAUACGGAGGAUCCGAGCGUUAUCCGGAUUUAUUGGGUUUAAAGGGAGCGUAGGUGGAUUGUUAAGUCAGUUGUGAAAGUUUGCGGCUCAACCGUAAAAUGGCAGUUGAAACUGGCAGUCUUGAGUACAGUAGAGGUGGGCGGAAGUCGUGGUGUAGCGGUGAAAUGCUUAGAUAUCACGAAGAACUCCGAUUGCGAAGGCAGUUCACUGGACUGCAACUGACACUGAGGCUCGAAAGUGUGGGUAUCAAACAGGAUUAGAUACCCCAGUAGUC